rnacentral:rRNA from 1 species
ACUCAAAUGAAUAGACGGGGGCCCGCACAAGCGGAGGAACAUGUGGUUUAAUUCGAUGAUACGCGAGGAACCUUACCCGGGCUUGAAAUGGAGAAGAAUAACGGUGAAAGCCGUUAGCCAGCAAUGGCUUCUUUGUAGGUGCUGCAUGGUUGUCGUCAGCUCGUGCCGUGAGGUGUCGGCUUAAGUGCCAUAACGAGCGCAACCCUUGCCAAUAGUUACCAGCGUUUAGGAUGGGGACUCUAUUGGGACUGCCUCCGUAAGGUGUGAGGAAGGUGGGGAUGACGUCAAAUCAGCACGGCCCUUACGUCCGGGGCGACACACGUGUUACAAUGGGUGGAACAGAGGGUUGCGACUUGGCAACAGGAAGCUAAUCUCUAAAAACCAUUCUCAGUUCGGAUCGGAGUCUGCAACUCGACUCCGUGAAGCUGGAUUCGCUAGUAAUCGCGCAUCAGCCAUGGCGCGGUGAAUACGUUCCCGGGCCUUGUACACACCGCCCGU